rnacentral:rRNA from 1 species
UAACCUUUAGCCAAACAAAUAUUAAAGGCAACGCCUGCCCAGUGAAUAAUUAAACGGCCGCGGUACCCUAACCGUGCAAAGGUAGCAUAAUCAUUUGUCUACUAACUAUAGACCUGUAUGAAAGGCAAAAUGAGGGCCCAACUGUCUCUUAUAGUCAAUCAAUAAAACUGAUCUCCUAGUAAAAAAGCUAGAAUUUCUACAUAAGACCAGAAGACCCUGUGAAGCUUAAACUAAACUAUUAAACCCCAUAAUAAAUACUUUCGGUUGGGGCGGCCUUGGAAAAAAAAAGAACUUCCAAAACACAUGACUUACCUCAUACCCACCAGGCCUACAAGCCAUUAAAUGACCCAGCAAAGCUGAUAAAUGAACCAAGUUACUCCAGGGAUAACAGCGCAAUCUUCUUCAAGAGCCCAUAUCAAAAAGAAGGUUUACGACCUCGAUGUUGGAUCAGGACAUCCUAAUGGUGCAGCCGCUAUUAAGGGUUCGUUUGUUCAACGAUUAACAGUCCUACGUGAU